ensembl:lncRNA
AUGGUCUGCUGGAUCCUGCUGCUCAUCAGCCUGACCCCCUUUACCUGGGGUCAGUUUUUAUCCACUAACUCAAAUCAAUUGGAAAUCCAAAAUAAUCCAAGUUGUGAGUGUGUGUGGUCGUCACUUUCCCUCUGUGUCUCCUCAACAGGAACAUUUGUAGUGAAUGUGACACAGAGCUCCUAUCAGGCAGAGGAGAACCACGACAUCACACUGGACUGGACCUUCACAGCUCCCAGCUCCUCCACCCCCAUUUAUAUCUUCUGUGAAAGGACGAUUGAUGAGAAAGUCCUGUUGAAGCUACGUAACGGUGUUGAGGUCCCAGAGUCUCAGGACAAACAGUUUUCAGGACGAGUCCAGUUUGACAAAGACGUCCUCAGAGAAGGACGAGUCAGACUUCAUGUGUCCAGACUCAGGACUGAGGACUCUGGCCUGUACCUGUGUGAAGUGCAGACAGGUGGUGGUAGUGGUUAUGCUGACUGUCGCCUCAACGUCACAGCAGCGUCUGAUCGGCCCCGACCUCUGAGACCAGAACCAAAGAGGCCAGAACCAGAGAGUCGAGGAAGGAUCGGUCUCUACGUUGGACUGGGACUGACAGCAGCAGCAGCAGUUGUUCUACUGGUCACACUCUGCUUCAGUCUUUGUUUUACUGAACCUGCUGAUGUGUCAGUAAACGCCUCUUCAGUGGUGUAAAGUGUCUCAGAGAUCAGACUUUGACCCUGUUGGUCCAUGAGGCAGCUUUUCCCUGAACACACAGUCUGAGCUCUGUAAGAAGCACACAGGUCUGGUUGGACUCAUCAGGACUAAGAGGACCCCUUUUCUAUUAAAGCACUGGGUAAAGACAAGAAUCAAUCUAUCUUAGAAAAUUAGAAUAUUGUGAAGAAGUUCAAUGCUGGAGACUCAUGGUGUCAAACUCUAAUCAGCUAAUUAACUCAGAACACCUACCAAGGUUUCCUGAGCCUGAGAGCUUCAUAUGACUCUGUGUCCAAGUGCAAGAGAAGCAUUUGCCUAUGUGGCUUCUCAUUUCAGUUCUCGCUCAUAGAAAAAAGAUUUCUCUGGUUCCUCAGUCCAGUCCAGAAACCAAACCAGUUCAAAUUGCUCAGAAAACACCUUCAUGUUUAUUAACUGAUUCUAAAAUCCACCUUUGCUGGGAUGUUAAAGAAGAAGACUCCUUCCACCAUCAGCAGGACAGCAGGUUUCUCUAAAGUCAUUUUCUUUUCUCAGCAGCUGGCAGUUCAGUUUACGUAUCUCUGUUCUGUCCCACAGGGAUUUUAUCACUAAUGCUGCAUUUUUUACACUUUGAGGUAUUAGACUUGAUGUAUUUGUAUUUGAUGAUCCUUUAAGUUGCACUGAAGUUAAGUUGUACAUGUAGUACUUCUGUAAUGACCUCAGGAAAAGUAUCUGCUACUUGAAUCAAAGAAGAAAAGUUGUGAUAUUUAAAGCUGCAGAGUUCAAGUUUCCAGCUAAGCUAGCUCAGCUAACUGACUGUUGACUGUGUUUCUUUGCUCAUGUGUAAGUCACUAAUGUUUAGUUCACUGGUCUGAAAUGCUCAGAGGUAAAAAGUGUCGUUACAUUUUUAUAUUAAAAUGUGAGUGAUGGAUCCACUCGUCUUUCCUCUGCCUGGUUUCAUAUUAUUUUAAAGAUGCAAUGUGUAAAAUGUGAAAGAUUUAGCAGCACCUAGUCAUGAGAUGACAGAAUCCAACCUUCAGGGUAAUGUUGACUAUUGGAUGCUAAGUGUUAAGUAGUGAUGAGAAUUAAGGGUCUUCAAAGGUAAAACAGCUCAUGGGUUAUAGAAGUUAAACUGCUUUUAAAGCAACAGUUCCACAAAACUGGAAGACGUUUUAUUGGAACGAUGAAGAACAAGUAUGAACUAACAACACUUAUUUAACAACAGCCCUGAAAUAGAAGUGUUUCCUGUUUUUGCUCAGAAACAUGUUUAACUUGUGAACUAUAUAUAAGUCACCUUCAUGAUUUGACUAGGUCAGCAUUUUAAAGCAGUCCAUGUAUUGGUCCUUCAACAUUUAGUACAAAUACUUUCUGUUUCCCAGCACACAAAGGUCCUUUUGUGUUUGGGUAAAGACACUUGAUUCUUGCUUCGUCUUAUCACUCAGCAGAGGAAGAUGAUGAAGUGUCGGUUCAGCUGAUCCACACAAAAUCCUUCCAGCUGUGCAGAGGUGGGUCAUGUGUUUUUUGGUUUAGACCAUAACAGCCUGGAAAUAUCCAGACAGAGAGAGACAGUCCAACCUGUGGAUUUAUGGCAGGAAGUGAAAUCAUUAGUUUUCAUUGAACAACCUGAUCAUAGUUUAUAGAAGAGCGACACCUGCUGGCUGAGUUGGAGAACUGCACGUGAGGGGUCGUCCUGACAAAGCCUCGUGGCUUCAG